UACGAAGGGGGCGAGCGUUGUUCGGAAUUACUGGGCGUAAAGCGCACGUAGGCGGCCUUGUAAGUUAGAGGUGAAAGCCCAGGGCUCAACCCUGGAAUUGCCUUUAAGACUGCAUCGCUUGAACACGGGAGAGGUGAGUGGAAUUCCGAGUGUAGAGGUGAAAUUCGUAGAUAUUCGGAAGAACACCAGUGGCGAAGGCGGCUCACUGGACCGUUGUUGACGCUGAGGUGCGAAAGCGUGGGGAGCAAACAGG
rnacentral:rRNA from 1 species